rnacentral:tRNA from 1 species
GAAAUAAUAAUUUUAAAUAUUUUAAGCUUCUAACUUAAUUAUUAAAUGAAUUAAUUCAUUUUUAUUUCU